GACGAACGCUGGCGGCGUGCCUAAUACAUGCAAGUCGAGCGGACAGAAGGGAGCUUGCUCCCGGAAGUAGCGGCGGACGGGUGAGUAACACGUGGGCAACCUACCCUGUAGAUCGGGAUAACAUCGAGAAAUCGGUGCUAAUACCGGAUAAUCAUUUGAAGUGCAUGCUUCGAAUGUAAAAGAUGGCUCCGGCUAUCACUACGGGAUGGGCCCGCGGCGCAUUAGCGGGUUGGUAGGUAAUGGCUUACCAAGGCAACGAUGCGUAGCCGACCUGAGAGGGUGAUCGGCCACACUGGGACUGAGACACGGCCCAGACUCCUACGGGAGGCAGCAGUAGGGAAUCUUCCGCAAUGGACGAAAGUCUGACGGAGCAACGCCGCGUGAGUGAUGAAGGUUUUCGGAUCGUAAAGCUCUGUUGUUAGGGAAGAACAAGUGCCGUUUGAAUAAGGCGGCACCUUGACGGUACCUAACCAGAAAGCCACGGCUAACUACGUGCCAGCCGCCGCCGUAAAAC
rnacentral:rRNA from 1 species